UACGUAGGUGGCAAGCGUUGUCCGGAUUUACUGGGCGUAAAGAGCGCGCAGGCGGUCGUUCAAGUCGCGUGUGAAAGCCCCGGCUCAACUGGGGAGGGUCACGCGAUACUGAUCGACUGGAAGGCAGGAGAGGGUAGUGGAAUUCCCGGUGUAGUGGUGAAAUGCGUAGAUAUCGGGAGGAACACCAGUGGCGAAGGCGGCAUCCUGGACCGACACUGACGCUGAGGAGCGAAAGCCAGGGAGCAAAGCGG
rnacentral:rRNA from 1 species